AGAAAUUUUGAGGUUAUGCCGUGCGUCUUUGACUUUAUUUCUUAUUCCAUCGGCAAAAACAUCUACGAAAAUAUUGCGAGUAAAAUAAUUUUUUGUUUAAAGGUUUUCAACCCUGCCGUUACCAUGGUGAUUUAUCAAUAGUCGCCGACAUCUUUAAAAAAUAAUCGCUUGUCGCAUCAAGAGUUCAUCAAGAGAAAGUUUUAUAAUAAUUAACGCGAUUAUAUUAAACAAUUUUCGCAUUAAAUGGAGUUAAAAUAUCCUUUUUUUAAAGCGGAAAUAAGGAUGAUGCAACUCUUUUUGAUGAUACCAUCAUAGUUUGGCCUUAUUUUGAGACGAAUGAGUCGAUUUAAAGCUCAAAUGUGACUUUAUUGUAAAGUGGUAUCAAGAGGCAAAUUUCAAUGCUUAUAAUGAAGGAGAAGAUCAUAAAGUUUAUUUCUGAAUUCAAAACAACUCAAAAAUGUUAAAUUUGACAUUUAAUGUCGAUUAAAGAUGAAUAAUUCGACCAUAACUUUUUAAAAAUGAUUAAUAUUUUUAAGUUACUUUGUUAUAUUUUGAAAGAAUUGUUAUAAUUAAUAAAGAAAA